rnacentral:lncRNA from 1 species
UGCGCAUUAACGAGCACCUUGUACUUCCUUUACUUCCGGUCCGGCGAAAACAUUGAAAUGGUAUUUACUCGAUAUAAUUUAGCCAUGUAUGCCUACUUCUGUAGAAUGCAUACAUAUCUAACGUUUGACAAAAUGUACAAAAUAGACAAACAAACAUAUUUUACAUGUGCAUCGUCUAAAUGUGUUAAAUUUACGAGUCUGCUGUUGAAGUUUUUGUUAAAAUUUGACACGUGUCAAACUCACUAUUGCUAAUAUUAAUUUAUAGCUCAAUAGAUAUAAGAAGAUGUGGUAUGAGUGCUGAUGAGACAUCUCGUCAUCCAAGUCACAAUUUGUAAAAUAAAUACCAUUAUGUACAGAAAUUAACAAGGUUUCCUGUCAUAUUCAUAAAUAGCAAAUGUGUAGAAAAAAUGUUUAAACUGAUAAAACAAAGUUUAAUAUGAAAGGUUUUUAUUCUUUGAAGAAAUUGUUCCCAAAUAGUUAUACAUCUGUCUGGUAUAAUCAUAAUUAUUUGGUUAAAACAUUUCCAAGAAUUUUGUAAUAUUCAUGAAUUUGCACAUGUUUAUCUAUAUAGAUAUAGGAAGAUGUGGUGUGAGUGCCAAUGAAACAACUCUCCAUCAAAAUAACAAUUUUUAGAAGUAAACCAUUAUAGGUCAAUGUACGGCCUUUAACACAGAGCCUUGACUCACACCAAACAACAAGCUAUAAAGGGCCCCAAAUUACUACCAGCCGGCUCGUUGUUCCUAGGAACUAAAAGUAUGACGUCACUCACCGGGUUUCGGCUGUCUACACUUAGGAUUUAAAAUGAGCAGACGCUCAUACUUUGGCUGGCGAAUAUGGACCCUUUAUUUAUACAAGUAGCUGUAGACUUGCCACCACCUUAUAUUUAUUUAUGUGAACUUAUGUUCAACCAUAUAUAUAUGUCUUUUUAAUAAACAUCUUUAUAUUUACAUGUUUUACAUAGUUUGUCCAAUAUCCCAAAACUUGGGUAGACAAAACGGGAAAACGAAGCCAGUGGAAACUCCACUCCUGUUACAAUAACUUGAAACUAACCUGAAAUUAUUGUCAAUAUUAUUGAUAAUCAUAUUAAACUGGAUUGAAAUUUGAUCAGUAGGCAUGCAUGUGUUGUGUUCAGCUAAAGACGACAAGAUUACUCUUAAAAUAAGAACUCAAAGCAAAUUUUCUUAUGCUACAUGUUAAUUUUAUUAUCUCUUUUUCAGGAGUUAACAUUGGAUUCCAUGAGUCGUUAUGUUAGUCCAAUUAAUCCUGCAGUAUUCCCUCACCUGACGGUGGUUCUUCUAGGAAUUGGAAUUUUCUUCAUGGCAUGGUUUUUUGUGUAUCCUUGCAUAUUUUAGUGUUAUAAUUAGAUUUAUACAAAGAAACAUCAAUCUGUUCUACUUCAUACAGAAUAUUUAGAUAAUUUACACAGUCCUACCCCAUAUGAAAACAAGUCAUUUUAGUUUUGACUGAUAGAAGUCAAAUUAUCUUUGUUUCAUGAGUUAUUUCCCUGUAGGAAUGUCACUAUAAUUUGACUACAUGCAAAUCAAUGAGUAACAUGCAAACAUUAGAAGCACUAAGAUUUUGAUAAAAUAUAUCUUCUGAAAAGGUUGAGCACCAAAUCUGCUUUAAUCAUAAUGUUUAAGUUAUAUAUUUAAUAAAGAUCAAUGCAGAUGACAAUUUAAAAAAAAAAAAAAGAAGAAAACUUGUGAAUUCAUUAUUAAUUUUCAAGAAUUAAUUUUCCUAAAUUCAGUUAGUAUAGCCCAACUAAGAUUUUUAUGCAUUGUCCGAUCUGUAAAAAUAAUGAAAACAAUUAUCCAUACAAUAAGAUAUCAUUUAUCAUCUCAAAUAGAAUAUUUUCAUAUAAUCAACUUUUGACUUCAGAUUUUAUUAUUUUUCGACAGGUACAAUGUAACCUAUUCUGUGGCAAGAAAUCGUAGUUCUAGGUCAAGUAAGAGCAACCAAAAGAAGUAUAAACAAACAUAUAAUCAGUGCAACCUUUGGGGAAAGUUUUCUGUUUUCUAUAAAAGAAAACAUAAAUCAGUACAUUCACCCCUGAAUAGUAAAGAUUGUAAGCUUGAUUUUACUUCUUUAAGUUGCCUCUACUUGACAGAGUACCACGAUGUCCUACUACAGAGAAGGAAACCUGUUGGAAGAAAAAGAUAAUCUCUGGAGUCAGAAGGCAGUAAUAUGAAAAUAGUCUCUUGGUACACAGGAAAAUAAAUGAACCAACAGUUAUCCAGUGUCUGAUGUUUCAAAAAUUUAAGGGGAGAUCAUUUAAACACGGUCCUUUUUAAAUCUUUUAAACAAUAAAGCUAUUCAGUAGUGUAAUUAAAUUUAAGUGGAAAAAAAGAAUUACAACUUAGAAAUUUACAGAAUUUUUAAAGGAAUGGAUUUUUUUUUUUUUUAUAGAGAAAUGUUCAUGUAGCUAGCUUUAUGCACUGAAAUGAAUUAUUAGAGAAUUGUCCAGCAUUUCAAAAAAAAUCAUCUUAGACAUCAUUGAUCAUACAUGAUUUAUUUCCUUGACCACAAUACAGAUAUGAAGUGACCAGUAAUAAAUUUACUCGUGAUCUGUCUAAAGAACUACUUGUAUCAUUAGUAGCCUCAGUAUUCAUGGGAUUUGGAGUAGUAUUCCUACUGUUAUGGGUUGGAAUUUUCAUAUAGAUAUAGGUAAGGUUUAUUUAACUUUUAGAGAUUUUUUUAUCAUUCAAAGGAAGUUGCACAGCGCACAAGGUAGAAUUUUUUUAUCUGAGACAUUUUUUCCUAAAAAGAAUUAUGUUAACUAUUCCAAAACUGACUGAAAAAAAAAUCAUUACACAAUACUUCAACAAAAUAAACACAAAAUAAUUAAACUAACAAAUCAAAAGAGGGAUUCUUUGCUGGAAUUACAGUAAAAAAAAUCACACAUGUUUAUUUUAUUGAAAAUAUUAAAUAGAUUUUUAGUAUACAUAAAAUGAGACAGCAAACAUGUGAUAAAAAUGCAUAGAAAAUAGCUCAUGUUAAUAAGUUUAAUGCAGAAUACAGACCUCUAAAUUAACAAAGACAACUGAAGAUAUGCCUUCAACAGCAACUUUUCUAACAGACCAAAAACAUUUUAGAGAUAACUUAAGUCAAUUAUUGAGAAUGUUCAUUAUCGCUAUUUUGUGCAUUUUUCCUUUGAUCUUUUUUUGUGAUAAUUUUUCAUAUCAUGCUACUCGCUUGAGCUGGAAAAUUAUCGCUAGAAACUAAGAAGGCACGUGGCGUUGCUAAUGAAAUUGACAUGAAAUUGACAACGUCGUCAUAGGUAAAAUAGCGAUCAACAGAUUAUCAUUGGUCAUCUCAACUCAAUUUCCUUUCUCGCAUUCGCCGUCCCGGCUCAAGCGAGAAAAUCAAAACGAUAAUCUAUUAUUAUUGCAGACAGACACAUGAACAUACACGUAUGGUGGUAUUUUACUGGUUUUUAUAUACAUUAAAAAAAAUGAUUUAGUUGUUUCCUUUAAAUAUUCUAUUUUGUUGUUUUUUUUCAGAUUUCAAAAGCAUUUAAUUCAAAGAAGUAUGGAUGGGUAGAGUGCAAGUGGACUAGAUAUUUGUUUUGUUAUUGUCUAAAUAAAUAUAUUAAAAAGACUUCUAAAAG